GAGUUCCUUAGCAAAAGGGAAGUAACCAAAUUAUGUCCUUGUCUUAGGGUGGGCCAAGUUUCUCGGGCAGCAGCAGUUCCUACGGUCAGGGUUCCCAAGGCAGCCAGUCCUAUGGCCAGGGUGGAUCUUCUUCAAGUGGCAGCAGCGGUUGUGGACAAGUAAGUCCCUUUUUCUCCAAACUAUUUGAAAACUAGACCCAGCUUUCUUUCCAGUAGUGACACAUUUUUCA
ensembl:lncRNA